GACGAACCGUGCGAACGUUGUUCGGAUUCACUGGGCUUAAAGGGCGCGUAGGCGGGUUGUCAAGUCAGGGGUGAAAUCUUUCGGCUCAACCGGAAAAGUGCUUCUGAUACUGGCAACCUGGAGGGAGGUAGGGGCAGAUGGAACUUCCGGUGGAGCGGUGAAAUGCGUAGAUAUCGGAAGGAACGCCGGUGGCGAAAGCGAUCUGCUGGACCUCUUCUGACGCUGAUGCGCGAAAGCCAGGGGAGCAAACGGG
rnacentral:rRNA from 1 species